CCUUCGAUAGCUCAGUUGGAAGAGCGCGAGACUGUAAUGGUUACAUCCGCACAUAUCUUGAGGUCGCUGGUUCGAUCCCGGCUCGAAGGA